CCGGUAGGCUCUUGGGUUCGGCCUUGAAGUACGUUCCCGCAGUGCUUUCCGGUUCGGCUCGUUUCGUUUUCUUCCUACAAACAGCUCAGCCGACUCCCCCAACCCGGUAGGCUCUUGGCUUCGGCCUUGAAGUAAAAACAGUCCUGAUUACUGCUUGGAAACUCUGCUGAAGGCAAGAUUUUUCUCUGCCCAAGGAUUACUCCUGUCUGUGCUCCUAUCUUCAGAGGAUGAACUGGACGCGGUGUGCCAUAGCUGCAAGAAGCAGGAGGGUGCACGAAGUAUGAAGUGUAUGAGAUGUUAUGGCUCUAUUUUCUUGGCAGAUGGAAAGAAGCCUGGGCCUGACUCCACAAAUUCUUCUUGUGGAGAUGUAAGUCGGGAUAGGGCCCGUUCUUCUCCCCUCUAGAGACGUGGAGAGGAGGCAGCGGUUGCCAUGAAGCCGCCUUGCCCUCUGCUAUCGGGUAUUUCUGUGCUGUUGUGUGCAUAUACCUGCUGCACAGCAAGCUGCCCUCAAGGAAACAGCGCUAGCUGUCCCCACUUGCAGGCUGAGCAGCUGUUCAUCUGAUUUGAUUCAGACUAGGCAGUUACAGAGCAGCACAGGUGACAUUUAUUUAAUAAAAUGAGGCUUUCCGUUCAGUACCCUUCAAUACCAGAGCCUCUCUCCCUUCUCCUUGUUUUCCAGCAAGGAGAUUUCAGCCUGGCUCCCCCCGUGGGGAGAGGCCACUCACCAUGGGAACUCACCAGCUCUGUUUUGCCCUCUCCCUGACUCCCUGAGGCACGGGGUGCCCUGUGGUGCUGCCACUAGCACACAUCGACGUCUGAAGGCCCGCAACAGUGCACAGGGCUGGGGCUGGGCCUGGCUGCGGCCCGGCCAGCAGGCUGCGAGGGGCCUGGAGUAAACAGAGGCAGCUGGUGACUCAGCAUGGUGUGGCGGGCCCACGAAGCAUGGCAGAUGCAGCUUCAGCUGUUACCGGGUGCCCAGCACCGGCCCCCGAGCCUGGGUCAGAUGAAGGAGCCGCCGUGAUGGUGACAGGGUGGUGUCAAACUGCCACUCUCCGCCUGAAGGCUGCCACGGCUCUGCGGCAGCACAGCCCCCGGUCUGCAGGCCAGGGGACAAAAAGAUCACGUUUGUCAAGGAUUGUGCUUUUACACUGAGCUCGGCAGUUGCGGCAGAGUUCUGCUUUUGGAGUUCAGGAUUUUGCUCAGAGCUGCAACUGAAAUAAAAUUAAAAAACCCACCGCUAAGUUACCACACGUAAAGUAUAGCUUCUCCUUACCGACAGGAGCUUUGGGGUACAAGAGGAAUGAGAGCAAACUGAUGCUCUCAGCAUUCCAUCCUCUUGUCAUUCAUCACCAGUUUAUUCUCCUCUUGAGAGGUGGCAUGCUGCAAGGCUGUCAAACCGCCUCACAGAGAGCAGUGAGCGAUCAGGAAAAAGUGCCACAAGCUUGGGCUAUCCCAAACCAUUCCCUUCCAUUCCCCCAUGGCAUUGCAGUGGCUUGAAGAAGUUAAAACACUCUGUGGCUGUCUGCAUUAUAGUGUGACACUGAGAUUUGCUGUGAAACACGGAUUAUUUCUCCUUUUGUGACACCCAGAACAUAUUGAUUACCCACGUAGAUUUUUCUAGUUGAACAUUCCUGUGUAUGAACACAACACUGUGAAGCAUUACACUUUUUAGGAAAAUAUUGGAAUCAGAAAAAUGGACUUCUGACUUUCCCAUUUAAAAACUUUCUCCCAUGGAAGUUAAUUGAGAGGCUUAAAAACACCCAAGUGUUGUCUUUCUGGCUCUGCACGUGCACCAGCAUGUACACUGCGAGUACAUCCUUCAGGCACAAAAUGAUACAUCCAUCCCUCUACCAAAUAUAUAUAUAUAAAUAUAUAUAUAGUUCUAAAAAUAAAUUAUCUUUCUUUUCCUUUGUCAGGAUAAUCUUUAGCUGAGUAAACAAAACCACAAAAAUAAAAUAAGGAGAAAUCCUUGGCAAGGCAUCAAAAAAAAAGAAAAAGAAAAAGAAAAAGCAUUGUGAUGGGCCAGCUUUAGUUCUGCAACUUAAAAGGCAUCGUCUUUAGAUCUCUUUUAUUCAGGUUCUGUUUGCUGAGGGAUCAGCCCUAGGCGUUUGUGGAUCAGUAUGAACUGAAGCCUGAGGCAGCAUUGCUUCAUUGCUGGUACGGGUGUCUAUAGAAACAGAUGUAAAAAGAUAAGGGGAAAAAGGCAAAUAUAGUACGAUGAUCAAAGACUCUCUGGGAAGGUUCUCACUCAGUCCAGACCUUUGCUGAAAACCUGGGCUUCUGUGAGUUGGGGAAGCUCACACUGCAACUGUACAACAGGGUCUGCCGCAAGGACUCAUUGCUUCUUAAUCCUAGAUGCACAAAAUUAAGCAGUGUAUUUGUAUAUAUUUUAAAGCCUAAAUAAAAGCUGAUUUUUGAGUAUGAGAGAUGCUUAUGUAAAGCUAUAUUUUAGCUUAGCACAUUUGGAAACCAGGUGAGUGCUUUGUAUUACCAGGACAACUCAUUCUUAUUUAGCUGCUGCUUUAAGAGUCCGUAACAACUGGAGCUGUGAUUUAAGAGCAUCUCCCUUCUAUAUGAUCAUAUUCUCAGCUGUUAUUGUUUCAUGUAUUGUUUUAUUCCUUGAUAAUUUUCUAAGAAGUGUGCUUGUUUGUUGGUAAAGAGAGCCAUCUGAACUGAUUUUUAAAAUUUAUCUGCAUUUUCCAUUGCAAUAGAAAAAGACAAGAAGUAAAAUCUGUGCGAAAGCUCAAGCACUAUUCCUAAGAUCCCUUGGCAUUUUUUCUCUUGACAUGUUUCCACUCAGCUGGUUGCAUAGACUGCAUGAUGCAAUCAUGGAAAAAGACCCACUCUGCUGGGAGGGAUUCAUCCUGUCAGAAGGCAGGGGCUUGAGAUGCAUGUGGCCGUUCUUGUUCUGGUGGUGCUUACAACACUGCAGGCUUCCAGUUGUUCCCAUAAAGGGCAACAGAACUGGUGACUUCAGUGCAGACCUCCUUCCCCACUUGCUCAAACACUGGUACUUGAGGGCUACAGCACUGAUAUCACCCAACACCUUGCUAAGGGAGAUAGUGGCUAUGGCAUUGGUUAUUCCUGGAAUCUUAUUCAUACAGUGACCACAGCACUGUCUCAAACUGGUUGCUGGAGAAAUGGAUGGAUAGACAUCUUGCUCAGUGGCUGAGGACUGAAUGAGCAUAUGCCACUAAGGUACAGCCAGAAUGUCAAUAUGAUUAUAAGUCAACCAUCUUAUCCCAUAAAUAGUGAGCAGCACAAGAGCCUGAGCGCAUUUGUGUACGACAGUGAGCUGCACAAGAUCUCCCAUCGAGCAGAGAUGCCUCUAGGGGCUACACCUGAACAGAGAUCCCUCAUGCCUUGAUGUCAAGAGACUCCUAGCUGUCACUUGCUUUGUAAGCUUCACUAAGAUUAUAUCUUAGAUUGACUGUGCACAUACAGUCCCUUAGACAAAAACCAUUGAUCAAGUCUGGGACUAGGAGUGAAUUCAGCCCAUCUGUGCUCCUUACCAAUGUGGUUCAAGGAGUUUGGAAAGCCAGGGGGUCCACUCUGUGCCUCAUAACUCAAUGGGAGGAUCUCAUGGAUGAGAGUGUUUAACCCUAUCCUCUGUAUAAUACACAACCAAAAGUACCUUGCCAUCUCAAAUCUUGUCAAGUCACUGUCUUAUUUAGGGUUAAGCUUUGCUAAAUCACUGUUUUAUAUUAAUAAAUAUAUUACUGCUUUUCUUUUA